CCCUUAGAUGUCCUGGGCCGUACGCGCGUUACACUGAUGCAUUCAACGAGCUUAUAACCUUGGCCGAGAGGCCUGGGCAAUCUUGUUAACGUGCAUCGUGAUAGGGAUAGAUUAUUGAAAUUAUUAAUCUUGAACGAGGAAUUCCUAGUAAACGCAGAUCAUCAAUCUGCAUUGAUUACGUCCCUGCCCUUUGUACACACCGCCCGUCGCACCUACCGAUUGGAUGGUCCGGUGAAGCCUCGGGAUUGUGGUUCUUGCCGCUUUAUUGUGGCGUGACCGCGAGAACUUGUCUAAACCUUAUCAUCUAGAGGAAGGUGAAGUCGUAACA
rnacentral:rRNA from 1 species